ensembl:miRNA Mir429 microRNA mir-429
GGUACACUGCCUGCUGAUGGAUGUCUUACCAGACAUGGUUAGAUCUGGAUGCUCUGUCUAAUACUGUCUGGUAAUGCCGUCCAUCCAUGG